GCAGUCGAGCGAUUGAUGGGAGCUUGCUCCCUGAUAUUAGCGGCGGACGGGUGAGUAACACGUGGGCAACCUGCCCUGCAGAUGGGGAUAACUCCGGGAAACCGGGGCUAAUACCGAAUAAUCGGUUCUUCCGCAUGGAAGAACUCUGAAAGACGGUUUCGGCUGUCACUGCAGGAUGGGCCCGCGGCGCAUUAGCUAGUUGGUGGGGUAAUGGCCUACCAAGGCGACGAUGCGUAGCCGACCUGAGAGGGUGAUCGGCCACACUGGGACUGAGACACGGCCCAGACUCCUACGGGAGGCAGCAGUAGGGAAUCUUCCACAAUGGACGAAAGUCUGAUGGAGCAACGCCGCGUGAGCGAAGAAGGUUUUCGGAUCGUAAAGCUCUGUUGCGAGGGAAGAACAAGUACGGGAGUAACUGCCCGUACCUUGACGGUACCUCGUUAGAAAGCCACGGCUAACUACGUGCCAGCAGCCGCGGUAAUACGUAGGUGGCAAGCGUUGUCCGGAAUUAUUGGGCGUAAAGCGCGCGCAGGCGGUCCUUUAAGUCUGAUGUGAAAGCCCACGGCUCAACCGUGGAGGGUCAUUGGAAACUGGAGGACUUGAGUACAGAAGAGGAAAGCGGAAUUCCACGUGU
rnacentral:rRNA from 1 species